UACGUAGGGUGCAAGCGUUGUCCGGAAUUAUUGGGCGUAAAGAGCUCGUAGGCGGUUUUUUGCGUCUGCUGUGAAAACUCGGGGCUUAACCCCGGGCCUGCAGUGGGUACGGGCAGACUAGAGUGCGGUAGGGGAGACUGGAAUUCCUGGUGUAGCGGUGAAAUGCGCAGAUAUCAGGAGGAACACCGGUGGCGAAGGCGGGUCUCUGGGCCGUAACUGACGCUGAGGAGCGAAAGCGUGGGGAGCGAACAGG
rnacentral:rRNA from 1 species